rnacentral:rRNA from 1 species
CCUACGGGUGGCAGCAGUGAGGAAUAUUGGUCAAUGGACGAGAGUCUGAACCAGCCAAGUGGCGUGAAGGAUGACUGCCCUAUGGGUUGUAAACUUCUUUUAUAUGGGAAUAAAAUGUUCCACGUGUGGGAUUUUGUAUGUACCAUAUGAAUAAGGAUCGGCUAACUCCGUGCCAGCAGCCGCGGUAAUACGGAGGAUCCGAGCUUUAUCCGGAUUUAUUGGGUUUAAAGGGAGCGUAGGUGGAUUGUUAAGUCAGUUGUGAAAGUUUGCGGCUCAACCGUAAAAUUGCAGUUGAAACUGGCAGUCUUGAGUACAGUAGAGGUGGGCGGAAUGCGUGGUGUAGCGGUGAAAUGCUUAGAUAUCACGAAGAACUCCGAUUGCGAAGGCAGUUCACUGGACUGCAACUGACACUGAGGCUCGAAAGUGUGGGUAUCAAACAGGAUUAGAUACCCCGGUAGUC